rnacentral:rRNA from 1 species
GACGAACGCUGGCGGCGUGCCUAAUACAUGCAAGUAGAACGCUGAAGGAGGAGCUUGCUUCUCUGGAUGAGUUGCGAACGGGUGAGUAACGCGUAGGUAACCUGCCUGGUAGCGGGGGAUAACUAUUGGAAACGAUAGCUAAUACCGCAUAAGAGUAGAUGUUGCAUGACAUUUGCUUAAAAGGUGCAAUUGCAUCACUACCAGAUGGACCUGCGUUGUAUUAGCUAGUUGGUGAGGUAACGGCUCACCAAGGCAACGAUACAUAGCCGACCUGAGAGGGUGAUCGGCCAAACUGGGACUGGGACACGGCCCAGACUCCUACGGGAGGCAGCAGUAGGGAAUCUUCGGCAAUGGACGGAAGUCUGACCGAGCAACGCCGCGUGAGUGAAGAAGGUUUUCGGAUCGUAAAGCUCUGUUGUAAGAGAAGAACGAGUGUGAGAGUGGAAAGUUCACAAUGUGACGGUAUCUUACCAGAAAGGGACGGCUAACUACGUG